GACGAACGCUGGCGGCGUGCUUAACACAUGCAAGUCGAACGGAAAGGCCCUGCUUUUGUGGGGUGCUCGAGUGGCGAACGGGUGAGUAACACGUGAGUAACCUCCCCUGGACUUUGGGAUAACUUCAGAAAACUGGGGCUAAUCCCGGAUAGGAGCUCCUGCUGCAGGGGGGGGGUUGGAAAGUUUCGGCGGUUGGGGAUGGACUCGCGGCUUAUCAGCUUGUUGGUGGGGUAGUGGCUUACCAAGGCUUUGACGGGUAGCCGGCCUGAGAGGGUGACCGGCCACAUUGGGACUGAGAUACGGCCCAGACUCCUACGGGAGGCAGCAGUGGGGAAUAUUGCACAAUGGGCGGAAGCCUGAUGCAGCAACGCCGCGUGCGGGAUGACGGCCUUCGGGUUGUAAACCGCUUUCGCCUGUGACGAAGCGUGAGUGACGGUAAUGGGUAAAGAAGCACCGGCUAACUACGUG
rnacentral:rRNA from 1 species